AGCAGGGAGCUUGUUUCUCCUUCUCCCCCUCCCCCUGCUUGUGCUCUCUCACUCUCUCUGUCAAAGAAAUAAAUAAAAUCUUAAAAAAAAAAAAAAAAAGGAAAACAUGCACUCUUGUCAUUCCUGUACAUGUUUGCUGCUCAAGUCUGACUAUUAAAAAUAUUUUUUUUUCUUCUACUAGAACAAGCUAUUAUUUGCCUUCUAGAUUCUUCCAGGAUUGUGUGCUGACCAGAAGCAAAAGGAAACUAUUUCAGUGGCUUCUUAGACAAGCUUUGUGAGAGAAAACACAUGGCUAUCUGCAGAGUUGUAAGUGAAAGUUUUUACUCAGAAAUGUCACUCAAGACACAUACCGAUGGUAACUCCUUCUUUUAGACAAUAAAGUGUCCAGAAUCAAAUAAAUAAGGGUCAUCUGACUCCCAAAGAACACGGCCAGAGUGCUCAUAAGAUCCGAAGAAGCUGAGUCAGAUCAUUUCCAAAGGACAAAUGUAGUGCUCCUCCAGAAUCAGUGACUUGUGGAAUGUAGCAAUCUUGCCGUGUAUUUUCUCGGAGCCAAGCAGCCUGGUUCUGUCAAGUCCAUCUUUCAUCCCCUUCGCCUUCUGCCAAGUGUUAGUGUUUUCCUUGUUAGAAGAAGAAUUUAUGAAUUCCUCCAUUAAAAUGGAACUGAGUCUAUGAAAAUAAAGUUGAUCUUUGAUGCUUAAUUGAUCCUAAUUGAUUCUUUCACUCGAAAUAUUAAGAGACGAAAGGAAAA